rnacentral:lncRNA from 1 species
CACCAGUCUCUACUUCCUUACUCCACUUUUGCUGACUGAGUUGAUGGAGCUUGCUGCCCACAGAGAGCUCGCUGAUUGUCCUGGUUCAGCAAACCUGACUGUCUCUGCCUUGCUGGAAGUCAGCCUAUACUGGAAGUCCGCUUUGGCAACAUCCCUGCCUCAUCCCAGGCAAAGGCCUCUGAGAAUCCUGGAGUACCUUUUAGGUGUCCAGAGCGGCUAAGACUGGCACCACCCCUUCCCUCAAUGGGAACUCAGAUUACACAAAGAAAUGAAUAGGUCAAGGAAUAAGUUAUCUAUAUUUUAUUCCCCUGCCCCAGCCUCUGGCCUCAGGCCACAUCAGUCCCUUCUCCAGUGUGAGAAAAGGCGGGGAGCACCAAGAAGACACUUACCGGCCCUGGCUGCGUGUCAACCCAUGGCUCCUCCUCCAGGGAGUUCGGAGUACAGGUAGAAGGGGAAGACAGGACCAUCUCCAAGUUUGUGGAGGAGUAGGGUAUAGACUAGAGGAGGGCCUCUGGGAGGAGGUGAUGCUGGCUUGAGGUUCUAAGGGCUGAACCUGAAUUUAUCAGUUGACCACAGAGACAGGCAAUGGAACUCUGGAACAGCUUGUACAAAAGGCCUGGAGGUGCAAGGUAACCUGGGGUCGGCUGGGACAGGACCAACCAAUCUAGAGGAACUGGAGUGACACUUCGGAGCUGUCGUUUCUACUGCCUUUAAGCAGGAACAUAGUGUGAUCAGACUCGAUAUUUAGCAGGGUGUCUAAUAAAGAGAUAGGGGACAGACAGGGCUGGGAUCCAAGGGAGGGCAGUGAUGGCUGAGAUGGCAGCUCACUCCCUGCCCUUUACCAGUGUCCCAUUUUCCUGGUUUGUUGAGGAUGCUGGGGCCCACAGAGAUGAGAGGCCUGGGAGUGACUGAGGGUGGUUGGUGGCCCAGGGGCAGCUGCGUUGUCUCUCCUACACCCUUCUUGCAGAACCACACUCUCCAACAGCCAAGCUGUGUUCAAAGAAAGUUUGCUACUGGGCAAUUGCCUCGGCUCUGUGGUUUUCCGUUCAAGAGGGAGCCGAGUUCAUUGAACUUUAGGGCAGCUGUUUCCUCGUCUUCCCUCUGUAGCAAUAAUACAGUUAAUGGGAUUAUUUCCUGCACACAGGAACGGGGCUGCUAAGAAAACAUUGUGGAGUAAAGGCUGUUUGCAGAGGCCAGGUUGAAAGGCAAGCUCACACCAGGAGGAAGAACGGGGUGUGUCUCCUCACGGGCGAAGGUGGAGUGAUGCCAUCCACACCUCAGUUUGCCCUUGGAACCUUUUGCCAAUCCCAUGAAGUCCCAUGAGAGGCUACUAGACUGCCUCCCACAGCAGGAUCUCAGCCUGUGAAAGGUCCCUGCUUCAGGCCAGGCCAGCCAAGC